rnacentral:rRNA from 1 species
GACGAACGCUGGCGGCGUGCUUAACACAUGCAAGUCGAACGGUAAGGCCCUUCGGGGUACACGAGUGGCGAACGGGUGAGUAACACGUGGGUGAUCUGCCCUGCACUUCGGGAUAAGCCUGGGAGACUGGGUCUAAUACCGGAUAGGACCCUGGGAUGCAUGUCCUGGGGUGGAAAGCUUUUGCGGUGUGGGAUGGGCCCGCGGCCUAUCAGCUUGUUGGUGGUGUGAUGGCCUACCAAGGCGACGACGGGUAGCCGGCCUGUGAGGGUGACCGGCCACACUGGGACUGAGAUACGGCCCAGACUCCUACGGGAGGCAGCAGUGGGGAAUAUUGCACAAUGGGCGCAAGCCUGAUGCAGCGACGCCGCGUGAGGGACGACGGCCUUCGGGUUGUAAACCUCUUUCAGCACCGACGAAGCGCAAGUGACGGUAGGUGCAGAAGAAGGACCGGCCAACUACGUGCCAGCCGCCGCCGUAA